rnacentral:lncRNA from 1 species
UCGAUCCUGCUAUGUUCUCACCUUCUGAGAAGAAAAUGGAACAACAAGGAAAAGGGUGAGCUCAACUAGCCCAGUAAAGAAUAUUAUGACUAAGAUAAUAUACAACAAAUUAUCGUUAGUCUUCAACAGGGAAAAAUCUAAUAGAAUACAAUAGACAACAAGUUUUAGAUCAACAAAUGCAGCGGAAACAACAAUCCAUUAGAAGAGUCACGUAGAGAAAGAAUUCUACUGUCUUCUAAGGUUUAAAAGUCCAUCAUCAAUAUUUUAUCCCUGUAACAACAAUCAAUAUUCAUCUUUGCACUACAGGCCAAAGAUAUUCAUUUAAAUCACCAGUUAGUCAUGUUCAUCUCAACAACUGUUCAUCUUUGC